rnacentral:rRNA from 1 species
CAACUUUCAACAACGGAUCUCUUGGCUCUCGCAUCGAUGAAGAACGCAGCGAACUGCGAUAAGUCAUGUGAAUUGCAGAUUUUCAGUGAAUCAUCGAAUCUUUGAACGCACCUUGCGCUCCUUGGUAUUCCCGAGGAGCAUGCCUGUUUGAGU